CGAUGAGAAAGAGGCGUACGAAGAAAUACUGUGCAGAGAGGAACUACAGAGGAUAAGCCGCUGCACCUUAUUGACACACGGAGACCAGAAGGAAGACAAGACAGAAGCUCAAGA